rnacentral:lncRNA from 1 species
AAAUAACCAUUUGACAGACAGAAGCCUCGCUGUAAAGAACCUUCUCUUCUAGUACCCACAUAGGGCAUAUUUUUUGAAACCUUCAAAUCAUUACAUAAAUCAUCAUCAUGCAUUAAUUAUUUCGCUUUGCUCUAACAUAAAGUCAUGCAUAUCAUAACAUUCAUCGGGUCUAACCCCAUAACAUGAACUUGACAUCAAAAAGCCUUGAAACACAAAAUCU